rnacentral:lncRNA from 1 species
CUCUUGUUACUGCGUCUUACCAGAAUUCAUUUUUUUCUUUGCAGGCUGGAGAUAUAAAGACUAAUUAUGUUCAUGGAGAUGGUGUCAGCAGUGAUAUAUGUCUGAAUCCCACCAGCUCAAUCCUGAUGGCUAAGAGCUCUUCAUCUCCCUCCCUUGAGGACAAUGACCAAUAUAUAUAUGUUCCAAAUGCAGGAAACCAAAGGCUGAUGAAAAAUGAAGAAAAUGCAGUUUUAGGACAUACUGUUUCAACUUCUGAUCCACGUGGAGCAGAUUCAUACCUUCCAUUAAAGACCCAGGGGUUUAUUAAGGAUCGGGGCCAACUUUAUGCUGACAUGAAAAGAAGAAGCACAAGUCUCAGUGAUCUUGAAGUAGAUGGCAGAAGUGGAGGUGUUUUGGACAGACCCUGUGUUCACUACCCUCCCCUUGCCUCUUCAGAGGCCAUGGAUUGUAGUGGAGAUGGAUUAGACUCACCUACCAGUCUGCAGCCCAAGGAAUCCGCAGUGUCUGGGGUUCGGUCACGCUCCUAUUCCUACUCCUCGCCCAAAGGUUUAUUAGGAAGACCUUGCAUUCCUCAGGACUUUGCAGCUGGGGAUUCGAAUGAAGAUUAGGUGAGAAGUCUUUGGCAAAACAAGGCAGAAGAAAAAGAGGGAGGUAUGUCGCAGAAGCAGAGGAUGGCAGAUCAGCAAAGCUGUGUGUGUGCUUAAAGUUAAAACAGAAUUCUUUUGACCUUGCAGCUAAGGGACUGUUGGUGUCACAGCCCAUUAAGCUUCAUCCAGAUGCCAUUACCUGCUCUGGCCUGAUCUGGGUUCAGGCCCAUGUCCUGUUCAUUCUCUCUCCCCUUCCUCCUGGGUGCUGG